rnacentral:misc_RNA from 1 species
GAUGAAGAACGCAGCGAAAUGCGAUAAGUAGUGUGAAUUGCAGAAUUCAGUGAAUCAUCGAAUCUUUGAACGCACAUUGCGCCCUUUGGUAUUCCAAAGGGCAUGCCUGUUCGAGCGUCAUUUGUACCCUCAAGCUUUGCUUGGUGUUGGGCGUCUUGUCUCUAGCUUUGCUGGAGACUCGCCUUAAAGUAAUUGGCAGCCGGCCUACUGGUUUCGGAGCGCAGCACAAGUCGCACUCUCUAUCAGCAAAGGUCUAGCAUCCAUUAAGCCUUUUUUUCAACUUUUGACCUCGGAUCAGGUAGGGAUACCCGCUGAACUUAAGCAUAUCAGCGGAGGA